rnacentral:antisense_RNA from 1 species
CUUAAUGGUGGUCGUGCGCGGGCAGGCUUUCGCCUGGUCGGGUUUUCCUGUCGAGCCCGGGUCUCACCCCUCGCACGACUGCCACCCAA